AGCUUUGCGCAGUGGCAGUAUCGUAGCCAAUGAGGUUUAUCCGAGGCGUGAUUAUUGCUAAUUGAAAACUUUUCCCAAACUAUCCUGAAAUUGUAUGUGGGAAUUUUAAAGGUAGUCUUUCUAACAAGAAUGAUCUC